CACGUAGGGCGCAAGCGUUGUCCGGAAUUAUUGGGCGUAAAGAGCUCGUAGGCGGUCUGUUGCGUCCGCUGUGAAAACCCGGGGCUUAACCCUGGGCUGGCAGUGGAUACGGACAGACUAGAGGUAGGUAGGGGAGAAUGGAAUUCCCGGUGUAGCGGUGAAAUGCGCAGAUAUCGGGAGGAACACCGGUGGCGAAGGCGGUUCUCUGGGACGGUACUGACGCUGAGACGCGAAAGCGUGGGGAGCAAACAGG
rnacentral:rRNA from 1 species